UACGUAGGUGGCAAGCGUUGUCCGGAUUUAUUGGGUUUAAAGGGUGCGUAGGCGGCCCUGUAAGUCAGUGCUGAAAUAUCCCGGCUUAACCGGGAGGGUGGCAUUGAUACUGCGGGGCUAGAGUACAGAUGAGGUAGGCGGAAUUCACGGUGUAGCAGUGAAAUGCGUAGAUAUCGUGAGGAAUACCAGAGGCGAAGGCGGCUACCUGGACAAUUGCUGACGCUCAGGCACGAAAGCGUGGGGAGCAAAAGGG
rnacentral:rRNA from 1 species